rnacentral:rRNA from 1 species
AUUGAACGCUGGCGGCAGGCUUAACACAUGCAAGUCGAGCGGGGGCUUCGGUCCUAGCGGCGAACGGGUGAGGAAUGCCUGGGAAUCUGCCUGGUAGUGGGGGAUAACGAUUCGAAAGGGUCGCUAAUACCGCAUACGUCCUACGGGAGAAAGCAGGGGACCUUCGGGCCUUGCGCUAUCAGAUGAGCCCAGGUCGGAUUAGCUAGUAGGUGAGGUAAAGGCUCACCUAGGCGACGAUCCGUAGCUGGUCUGAGAGGAUGAUCAGCCACACUGGAACUGAGACACGGUCCAGACUCCUACGGGAGGCAGCAGUGGGGAAUAUUGGACAAUGGGCGAAAGCCUGAUCCAGCCAUGCCGCGUGUGUGAAGAAGG